UACGAAGGGUGCAAACGUUGCUCGGAAUCAUUGGGCGUAAAGCGCACGUAGGCGGCCUUGCAAGUCGGAUGUGAAAUCCCACGGCUCAACCGUGGACGUGCAUCCGAAACUGCUCGGCUCGAGUAUGGAAGAGGGUCGCGGAAUUCCCGGUGUAGAGGUGAAAUUCGUAGAUAUUGGGAAGAACACCGGUGGCGAAGGCGGCGAGCUGGUCCAUUACUGACGCUGAGGCGCGACAGCGUGGGGAGCAAACAGG
rnacentral:rRNA from 1 species